GGUCAACACCCCUCGGUUCCUCAGGAGAGAAGGGAGAAGAAACCAGGCUGACUCCCCAAUUCCCACUGCUCGGUUUGGAAUGAUGUUGGGACUCUGUCUUGGGCAGCGAGAGGAGGGUUGGGGGGAUUGUUUCGGAGGGUGGAUGCUCACAAGAAGAUAGAAUCAGAGAGGCUCUGAAACAACUGAAGGGUCUCAGAGGUGACAGGACGAUUGGGGGUGGGAGCAAGCUGGCCCAUCUCAGGUCCUUCAUCCUGCAAACAGAUGAGGUCAGUCAGAUGGAUGACAUGGUCAGUGCAGGCAUGGUGGGCCAGGGAGCCUGGUCUGGAUCCCUUCCCCAGAUACCUCCCAACAUUGCUUGGCGCCAGGUUUUAGUUGAAAGUGCUCCUGUGGCAUACUCAGCGACGUUUGAGGAUAACAACACACACAAAAUGCUAGUGGAACGCAGCAGGCCAGGCGGCAUCUAUAGGGAGAAGCGCUGUCGACGAGUCGGGCCGAGACCCUUCGUCAGGACAGACGUUUGAGGAUGUUAUGUAACAGUGUUAUCUCAUCACAAGCUGUUGUCAUUCAGAGUGUAUUCAAAUACGUUCUGCUAGAACAGGAUUACAGGAAGCUCGAAACCUGGCCUCUGCGGAAUGUAUGAAUUACAAGCAGGCCUAGGCCACUCGGCCCUUCAAACCUGUCCCACCAUCAUGGUUGCUGUGGUUGUAAUCUCAACACUGAAUUUUGUUCAGAAUCUGAAUCCAGGUUAUUAUCACUGGCCACACACAAAACUGGAGGAACACAGCAGGCCAGGCAGCAUCGAUGGGAAAGAGUAAACAGUCAACAUUGUGGGCAGAACCCUUCUUCAGGACUGGGGAGAAAAGAGAUGAGAAGUCAGAGUUAGAAGGUGGGAGGAGGGGAGGAAGAAGUACAAGGUGGUAGAUGAUAGGUGAAACCGGGAGAGAGGGAGGGGUGAAGUAAUGAGCUGAGCAAUCGAUUGGUGUGGCACAUGUCACACUUGCAAGGGUAAGUACCAGGAGGGAGAUGAGUGGGGAGAGACGAAUGGACAAGAGAGUCACGUGGGGAGUGAUCCCUGUGGAUAGUGGAAAGGGGGGGUGUGGUGGGAUCCUGUUGGAGAUGGUGGAAGUAAUGGAGAAACACCUGCCCAACACCUCCUCCCUCACUACCAUUCAGGGCCCCAGACAGUCCCUCACAUUGAGGGGACACUUUAUCUGCGAGUCUGUGGGGUCACUUACUAUACCCGGUGUUCCUGGUGGGGCCUCCUGUGUAUCGGUAAGACUCUGUAGAUUGGGAGAUCACUUUGGCAAGCACCAGAAAAAGUAGGAUCUCCCGGUGGCCACUCAUUUCAAUCCUACUUCCCAUUCCCAUUCCGACAUGUCAAUCCCUGGCCUCCUUUACUGCCACGCUGAACCCACACUCAGGUUGGAGGAGCAACACUGUAUAUUUCAUCUAGGUAGCCUCCAACCUGAUGGCAGAUUUCUCAAACUGGUAAUUGCUACCCCUUCACCAUUCCUCCCUCUCAUCUCCUUACCCGCCCAUCACCUCCCUCUGGUGCUCCCCUCCCCAUUUCCCUUUCUUCCAUGGCCUUCUAUCCUCUUCUCUCUUCUCCAGCCUUUUAUCUCUUUCACCAAUCAACUUCCCAGCUCUACUUUACCCCUCCCCUUCUGGUUUCAACUAUCACCUGUCACCUUGUACUUCUUCCUCCCCUCCCACUCCGCCCCCCCCCCCCACUCUGACCUCAUCUCUUUUUUUCCAGUCCUGAAGAAAGGGCUCGGUCCAGAACGUCGACUGUUUAUUCAUAUCCAUAGAUGCCGUCUGAUCUGCUGAGCUUCUCCACCAUUUGUGUGUGUUGCUUUGAUUUCCAGCACCUGCAGAUUUUCUCUUAUUUAGUAUCACUGGUGCACGCUGAGAAUUUUUUUUGUUUGUAGCAGCAGUACAGUGCAUUGCAUAAACAUUUCUAUAAGUUAACAAAGAGAAAUGUUUAAAAAUAAACAAUUAGCACAGAAAGAGAGCAAAAUAAUGAGGUAGUAUUCAUGGCUUCUGGGCUGUUCAGAAAACUGAUGGUGGAAGGGAAGCAGCCGUUCCUAAGAUGUUGAGUGUGUGUCUUCAGGUUCCUGUAGCUCCUCCCUGAUGGUAGUGAUGAGAAGAGGGCACGUCCUGGUUGGUGAGAGACCUUCAUGCUGGAUGCCUCCUCGCUGAGGUAUCCGCGUUUGAAGAUGUCCUCAAUGGCGGGGAGGUGAGUGCCCGCGAUGGAACUGGCUGAGCUGACAACCCUUUGCAGCUUUUUCUCACGCCUCCAUACCAGACAGUGAUGCAGUCAGAACGCUGUCCAUGGUACGUCAGUAGAAAUUUGUUAUAAUCCUCGGAAAAAUACCGAGUUGUCUCAAACUCCUAAUGAAAUACAGCUGCUGGCGUGCCUUCUUCAUGAUUGCAUGAAUAUGCUGGGUCCAGGGUAGAUCUUCAGAGUUACUGACACCCAGGAAGUUGAAGCUGCACACCCUUUUCAAAAUAUUAAAGAACUAUGCUUCCUGUGUCCCGUCAAAGUCAAGUUUAGUGUCACGUGCAAAAGUCCAUGUGUGCACUGAGGCAACAGAAAACUUCACAGGCUCGUAGCAUCGGAUAAGCAGCACCCAUAAGAAAAAUAACACACACAAAUUUCUGGAAGAACUUAGCGGGUCAGGUGCAUCAACGUAGAUGAAUAAACAGUCGACGUUUUAGGCCAAGCCCCUUUAUCAGGACUGGAGAGGAAGAGGAAGCCAGAAUGUGGAGGGAGGUGGAUUAAAAGCUGGGAGGUGAUAGGUGGAAAAGGUAAAGGGCUGAAGAAGAAGGAAUCUGAUAGGAGAUGAGAGUGGACCAUGGGAGAAAGGGAAGGAGGGAGGUGAUGGUUAGGUGAGAAUGGGUAAGAGAGAUGCCAGAAUAGGGAAUAGAAAGAGAGAGAAAGGGGAGGGGGGCAGAAAUACAAGGUGUUGCUACUCCAACCCGAGGGUGACCCCAUCUUGGCAACAGAGGAGAAUUUGGACUGACAUGUCAGACUGGGAAGUAGAAUUAAAACUGGUGGCUUAUUAUUGUGUUAAUAUUA